UUUAAACAGCUGAUCGGUGGGGGUGCCAGGAGUCAGCCCCCACUAAUCUGAUAUUGAUUACUUAUCUUGUGGAUAGGUCAUCAAUAUAAAUAAAGCAGACAACCCCUUUAAAAGAGAAAUGCUAAGGUAUGGAGCCUCCAUAUUUCCUGAUGUAACAUAUGCUACUGAUUAGGGAUACAAUGGCAUUAGUCAGCACUAGUUUUAUAGUUGCCAUUUAGAAUCUUCAUCCUCUGUACUACUCUACACAAAUGGCCCAGCCAUUUUGAA